GAUGAAGAACUAGCGAAAUGCGAUAAGUAGUGUGAAUUGCAGAAUUCAGUGAAUCAUCGAAUCUUUGAACGCACAUUGCGCCCCUUGGUAUCCCGAGGGGCAUGCCUGUUCGAGCGUCAUUUCACCACUCAAGCCUGGCUUGGUGUUGGGCGACGUCCCCUUUGGGGACGCGCCUCGAAACGCUCGGCGGCGUGGCACCGGCUUUAAGCGUAGCAGAAUCUUUCGCUUUGGAAGUCGGGGCCCCGUCUGCCGGAAGACCUACUCGCAAGGUUGACCUCGGAUCAGGCAGGGAUACCCGCUGAACUUAAGCAUAUCAAUAAGCGGAGGA
rnacentral:misc_RNA from 1 species